rnacentral:rRNA from 1 species
CAGCCAGACUCCUACGGGAGGCAGCAGUGGGGAAUAUUGCACAAUGGGGGAAACCCUGAUGCAGCAACGCCGCGUGAGUGAAGAAGCGUUUCGGCGCGUAAAGCUCUGUCAGCGGGGAAGAAAGAAGACGGUACCCGACCAAGAAGCCCCGGCUAACUACGUGCCAGCAGCCGCGGUAAUACGUAGGGGGCGAGCGUUAUCCGGAAUUACUGGGUGUAAAGGGAGCGUAGACGGCGAAGUAAGCCUGAAGUGGAAGCCCGCGGCCCAACCGCGGAACUGCAUUGGGAACUACCGGGCUGGAGUGCCGGAGAGGUAGGCGGAAUUCCUAGUGUAGCGGUGAAAUGCGUAGAUAUUAGGAGGAACACCAGUGGCGAAGGCGACCUACUGGACGGUGACUGACGCUGAGGCUCGAAAGCGUGGGGAGCAAACAGGAUUAGAUACCCGCGUAGC